AUUGAACGCUGGCGGCAGGCCUAACACAUGCAAGUCGAACGCGUUGCGGACGUGUGAGUAAUGUCUGGGAAACUUCCUGCUGGCGGGGGAUAACUCCUGGAAACGGUAGCUAAUACCGCAUACCAUCAGAUGUUCCCAGAUGGGAUUAGCUAUUUGGUGGGGUAACGGCUCACCAAGGCGACGAUCCCUCGCUGGUCUGAGAGGAUGACCAGCCACACUGGAACUGAGACACGGUCCAGACUCCUACGGGAGGCAGCAGUGGGGAAUAUUGCACAAUGGGCGCAAGCCUGAUGCAGCCAUGCCGCGUGUAUGAAGAAGGCCUUCGGGUUGUAAAGUACUUUCAGCGGGGAGGCGGUACCCGCAGAAGAAGCACCGGCUAACUCCGUGCCAGCAGCCGCGGUAAUUC
rnacentral:rRNA from 1 species